rnacentral:misc_RNA from 1 species
UGUAGCACCAGCAUUGGCAGU